AUGGCGACCGCCGCUUCGUCGAGCAGGGUGGCCGCGGUGGCGGAGCACGACGACAAGAACGAGCCGGCGAGGCCCCUGGCCAUCCCUCACCCGUACGCCCACCCGGCCGCCAGCGACGUGGACGAGGCGGCGCAGACGGCGACGGGGUGGCGCUCCGUGCAGUACCUCCGGAAGAGGCGCCGCUGCCUGCUCUGCUGCGGCGGCUGCUGCGUGGCCACCGCGGUCAUCGUCGGCAUCCUCAUCCUUGCGCUCUCGCUCACCGUGUUCAAGGUCAAGGACCCGCGCCUCACCAUGAACGGCGUCUCCCUCGCCGCCCUCAGGUCCGGCCCCGGCACGGGGCUCGCCGACCCCGUCGCCACCAACGCCACGCUCACCGCCGACGUCUCGAUCGAGAACGACAACAUCGCGUCGUUCCGGUUCUCCCCGAGCGCCACGGAGGUGUACCUCGACGGGCGGACGGUGAGCGUCGCGUACGUGCCCGGCGGCCGCGUCGGCGCCCACGGGAGCGUGCGCAUGAACGUGACGGUGGACAUCCUCGCCGACCGGCUGUCGCAGGCGGUCAACGCCACCGGCCUGCUGCUCGGCCAGCAGUACAACCUGACGACGUACACGGAGAUGGACGGCACGGUGAAGGUGCUGGGGAUCUACAAGAAGGAUCUCGAGAUCAGGAUGAACUGCUCCAUCACCGUGGAGGUAGGGGGCUUCGCCGGCGUGCUCGUGUCCGGGGCCCCGGCCGGCGUGCACACCAACGGCGUGAACUGCGUCGCACAUGUGAGCUGA
rnacentral:rRNA from 1 species